rnacentral:misc_RNA from 1 species
UUAACUAUUGCGUUUUUGCUCAGAGAGGCCUGCAAAACAAGAGUCUGCGUCGACCCCGGCGGGCACCCUCGCGGGCGGCGGCCCCUCCUAGGGGCCUCCCGCCGAGGCAACAGUCGUUCCUCGGGCGGUUCUCAAUGGUCGGGAGAGUAGUGGACUCUUUAAUGAUCCCUCCGCUGGUUCACCAACGGAGA